UAAGGAAUAUUGGACAAUGGGCGCAAGCCUGAUCCAGCUAUCCCGCGUGCAGGACGACGGCCCUAUGGGUUGUAAACUGCUUUUAUAGAGGAAGAAACGUCCCGACUUGUCGGGAUCUGACGGUACUCUAGGAAUAAGCACCGGCUAACUCCGUGCCAGCAGCCGCGGUAAUACGGAGGGUGCAAGCGUUAUCCGGAAUCACUGGGUUAAAAGGGUGCGUAGGCGGCGCUAUAAGUCAGAGGUGAAAGGCCACCGCUUAACGGUGGGACUGCCUUUGAUACUGUAGUGCUUGAAUCAGGCUGAGGUCGGCGGAAUGUGACAUGUAGCGGUGAAAUGCUUAGAUAUGUCAUAGAACACCAAUUGCGAAGGCAGCUGGCUAGACCUUGAUUGACGCUGAGGCACGAAAGCGCGGGGAGCGAACAGGAUUAGAUACCCCCGUAGUCC
rnacentral:rRNA from 1 species